GCUUGCUCUUCGGAUUAGUGGCGAACGGGUGAGUAACACGUGAGCAAUCUGCCCUUGACUCUGGGAUAAGCGUUGGAAACGACGUCUAAUACCGGAUACGACCUUGGAAGGCAUCUUCUGGGGUGGAAAGAAUUUUGGUCAGGGAUGAGCUCGCGGCCUAUCAGCUAGUUGGUGAGGUAAUGGCUCACCAAGGCGACGACGGGUAGCCGGCCUGAGAGGGUGACCGGCCACACUGGGACUGAGACACGGCCCAGACUCCUACGGGAGGCAGCAGUGGGGAAUAUUGCACAAUGGGCGAAAGCCUGAUGCAGCAACGCCGCGUGAGGGACGACGGCCUUCGGGUUGUAAACCUCUUUUAGUAGGGAAGAAGCGAAAGUGACGGUACCUGCAGAAAAAGCACCGGCUAACUACGUGCCAGCAGCCGCGGUAAUACGUAGGGUGCAAGCGUUGUCCGGAAUUAUUGGGCGUAAAGAGCUCGUAGGCGGUUUGUCGCGUCUGCUGUGAAAACCCGAGGCUCAACCUCGGGCCUGCAGUGGGUACGGGCAGACUAGAGUGCGGUAGGGGAGAUUGGAAUUCCUGGUGUAGCGGUGGAAUGCGCAGAUAUCAGGAGGAACACCAAUGGCGAAGGCAGAUCUCUGGGCCGUAACUGACGCUGAGGAGCGAAAGCAUGGGGAGCGAACAGGAUUAGAUACCCUGGUAGUCCAUGCCGUAAACGUUGGGAACUAGAUGUGGGGACCAUUCCACGGUCUCCGUGUCGCAGCUAACGCAUUAAGUUCCCC
rnacentral:rRNA from 1 species